rnacentral:misc_RNA from 1 species
GGGUGCCAGCAACUCCAGAAAAGCAUAUUGCAACAAGAUAUAAUUCCAUGCCAAUUGAAGGGCUUGGGAAUGGGAAUCAUCAAGAACUGGCACGAAUUCCCACAGGUUAUGCACAGGAGGUGUCGAAUUCUGGAAGGGUGGCUCAACAUUUUGGCCAAUUGGGCGGAAAUUGGAGUUUGGCAGGAAGAGACAGCAUGAUGAAUUGCAUUUCAGGGUCCUACACACAGGCCCUUCAUCAUCAAAAUGGGAAUUGGAAUAGUAAUUCAUUUGUUGA